GGGGUAAUGGCCUACCAAGUCUACGAUCUUUAGCUGGUUUUAGAGGAUGAUCAGCAACACUGGGACUGAGACACGGCCCAGACUCCUACGGGAGGCAGCAGUGGGGAAUCUUAGACAAUGGGCGCAAGCCUGAUCUAGCCAUGCCGCGUGAGUGAAGAAGGCCUUAGGGUCGUAAAACUCUUUCGCCAGAGAUGAUAAUGACAGUAUCUGGUAAAGAAACCCCGGCUAACUCCGUGCCAGCAGCCGCUGUAAUACGGAGGGGGUUAGCGUUGUUCGGAAUUACUGGGCGUAAAGCGCACGUAGGCGGACUGGAAAGUUGGGGGUGAAAUCCCGGGGCUCAACCUCGGAACUGCCUCCAAAACUAUCAGUCUAGGGUUCGAGAGAGGUGAGUGGAAUUCCAAGUGUAGAGGUGAAAUUCGUAGAUAUUUGGAGGAACACCAGUGGCGAAGGCGGCUCACUGGCUCGAUACUGACGCUGAGGUGCGAAAGUGUGGGGAGCAAACAGGAUUAGAUACCCUGGUAGUCCACACCGUAAACGAUGAAUGCCAGUCGUCGGCAAGUAUACUUGUCGGUGACACACCUAACGGAUUAAGCAUUCCGCCUGGGGAGUACGGUCGCAAGAUUAAAACUCAAAGGAAUUGACGGGGGCCCGCACAAGCGGUGGAGCAUGUGGUUUAAUUCGAAGC
rnacentral:rRNA from 1 species